CAGUAGCCGCGGGAAUACGUAGGUGGCAAGCGUUGUCCGGAAUUAUUGGGCGUAAAGGGCUCGCAGGCGGUUUCUUAAGUCUGAUGUGAAAGCCCCCGGCUCAACCGGGGAGGGUCAUUGGAAACUGGGAAACUUGAGUGCAGAAGAGGAGAGUGGAAUUCCACGUGUAGCGGUGAAAUGCGUAGAGAUGUGGAGGAACACCAGCGGCGAAGGCGACUCUCUGGUCUGUAACUGACGCUGAGGAGCGAAAGCGUGGGGAGCGAACAGGAUUAGAUACCCGCGUAGUCCCUGUCUCUUAUAC
rnacentral:rRNA from 1 species